UUAGCCAGUAAACCAUCUUCCCAUCUCAAUGAAGACAAAUUUUAAAAGUGUCACUGCUUUAGAAUGUAUGAGUUCUUAAAACUUUUAAUAAUACAUUACAAUUUUGAUUGACAGGAAAGGUGUUCCUGCUCUCAAACUAUGAAGGUUGUUAGGAUCAAGGACGAAGAUGCUUUCUUAUAAUUCCAACACUCAGAAAUCUGAGGCAGGAGGAUCAUGUGAAACAGGCCUGCCUGGACUACAAAGAGAGUUUCAAACCUUUCUGAAUUACAUAGCAAGAUUCCACAACAUUCCUAGAGUGGACUGCGGAGAUCAACAGUAUUGAGGUCACCUCGGAACUUGCUAAAGAUGUGGCAUGUCAUGAGGCCACCUCAUAGUCAGCUUGACCAGAAACCCAUUAUAUUUUGGAAAACACUAUACCCAGAGACUUCUGUCCUAGAUACAGAUAAAGGGGGAAAAAGUGAUGAUAUGUGCAGAAGUUUUAUGUCUUCUAGAUGAAAGCUAACAUCAUUGGAAGAGGGACCCUCAAUUGAGAAAAUGCCCCCACCAGAUUGGCCUGUGGACAAGCCUGUGGUGCAUUUCCUUUAUUAGUAAUUGAUAUGGGAGAGCCCAUCCCAUUGUGGGUAGUGCUGCCUCUAGCUAUUAGAAAGAUGGUGAUGGAAUUAUGAGGUGCUGUCCUGAGAGAAUGUAUACUGUUGGCGUGAACAUACAUGGCCAUGUCAAGAGCCCCAAUGCCAUGGAAGGCCUUGCCAUUCCUAUGGGUUAUGUUCUGAAGAAUGGCAAAGUCUUACUCUGCUAUGACUGUGGAUGUUGAUGAAUGUUUGACCUUUAACUGUAACCAUGUGUUCAGGAAGUAAGAACCGAAGCGUCAUCCUCCGAACUGAGACUACUCCUUACAGAGAUGACCUUCUCAGCUUGUUCGUCUCUGUGCCAUAUCUGGCUACUGAUUAGUAAGAUGAUGCUGUACUUGGCUAAGACGGGGAAGAGUGCUGGCGUUAAUACAGAAAAUGUCAACAGGUUUUGUUCAAACAAUACUACGUCUGUGUCCAUGUGUGGGAAUGUGUACAUGAGCACAGGUGUCCAUCAAGGACCCAAGAAGGCACAAGAGUCUAUGGAACUGGAAAUACAGCCAUUAUUCUUCCAGUCAACAUUUCAGUGAAUAUUUGCAAGUCAAGAAACAGAGAAAAUCAGAAAAUGAAUAUCAUUCCAGUAUUUCGAUGGGAUUUUUAGGAGAAAACUAUCUGAAAACUGUCACCAAUGAUCUGAAAGGAGUCUAGCUAGCAUGACUGUCUUCUGAGAGAUUCCACCCAGCAGCUAACUCAGACAGAUGCAGAUGCUCAGACGCAAACAGUGAAUUAAGCUUGGGGAUCCUUAUGAAGAAUACAGGGAAUUCAGCCUGGAAUUCCAGCCCUGAAGAUUGCAGCCCCGAAGGGGAUAGGAACUCCACAGGAAGACCAACAGAGUCAACUAACCUGGAUCCUCGGGGGUCUCAGAGACUGAAAACACCAAACCAAGGCGCAUACAUGGGCUGGACUGAGACCUCUUUGAACAUAGGCAGAUGUUCAUCUUUGUCUUCAUGUGGGUCCUGAACAACUGGAGCAAGGGUUAUGCCUAGACCCAUUGCCUGUCCAUGAAAUAUGUUCUUUAGCAGGGCUACCUUCUUUGACCUCAGGGAGAGAGAAUGCACCUAGUCUCACAGAUACUUGAUGUACCAGGGUGGAGCGAAACCUAAGAGGCCCUCACCAGCUCAGAGGAGAAGGGGUGUGUGUGUGUGUGUGUGUGUGUGUGUGUGUGUGUGUGUGUGUGUGAGAGAGAGAGAGAGAGAGAGAGAGAGAGAGAGAGUGAGAGAGCGCUUACCUAAGAACAGUAUCAAUGGAUAAAGAAAAUUUGACCCAUGUACUUGUACAAACAUGUAUAAUAUGUAUAUACAUAUCAUGAAAUAUUAUUCAACCUCAAAGAGAAGGAAAUUCUAUCUGCUUUAAUUACAUAGAUGAAUCUGGAAAGACAUUAAUGAGAUCAAACCCAGCACAAAAAUAUAAACACCUAAAGGCCUCACCUGUAUGUUAGGACUCUAAAAUCUGCUAUAGCUAAAAAUAGAGAGCAAAAUCACCACUGGAAUUUUUCUGUAACAAUAGCAUGAAUACUUGAAAUAUCUUUAUACUUUACAUCUGAAUUCAAAUUACACAUCUGACCACUGAGUACUUUUAGUGGAGAUUGAGUGAAAACAGGUAGAUGCUGGUCAACUGGCAAUUUGGAAAGGAAUAUAGUUUAUUGAUCUACUGUAUAACAUGGUGACUGUAGUUAACAAUGUAUACCAUAUCUUAAAAUUGUUAAAGGUGUAAACUUAAAAUAAUCACACUGUGAAAAUGAUGAGUACAUGGGGUAUUGAAUGUUACUACCUUUUACAGUUGAUGUAUCCAUCCCCAUUGUAUAUUAUAACAAGACAAGAAAGGACACUGGCCCACUUGAACAUGUGCCUCUGUCAGGCCUUGCUCUUUCCCCAUUCCCUCUGAUUUGUUAAAAACCAUUAGAUUACAUUCCCAAGCCUGGCCACCAAGCUUUAUUACCUCAUUUGUCCACUUCUUCCUCCUGAGGCUGAGUACCAAGGUCCAGCUCUUGAAGUUCAGCAAUCAAAAGCCCCAUUUGGCUCAACUAAUUAACAUGUCCAAUCAAAAUUAACCAUCUCAACCUAACCUGGGAUUUCCCACUUUACCCUUAUAAACCUGCAUUUGCCAGGUCCAGGUCUGUCUGCUUUCUAUCGAGAAGCAGUGGUUUGUUCUUCUAGGACAAGUACCCCUUAACUUUCUCCGUUUCCCAUUUUAUCCCCUGUCUCUUGACUCCUUCCCCUUUUUCCUCUUCCUCUACCUCCUGUCUUUAUCUCUUAACCCUGCUUUCUCUCCCUCUUGAGCAGUCAAGUAACACUUCUUGUGCUGAGAACUUGGUCUUGUGGUAUUUUGUGCCUACUUCAAGGUUUUCUACAGAUAUCCCAUAGUAUCAGUAAAUAAGUAUUAGUUCAAUUAAAUAGUAAGGGGAGACUAAGAAGAUACUUGCUUUGUAAAGUCUUUUAAGGUAGUCUUCAAUUUACAAAGCACAA